rnacentral:tRNA from 1 species
GCAGUGCUGGUUCAGUGGCAGAAUUCCCGCCUUCCAUGCAGGAGGCCCAGGUUCGAUUCUGGCCGGUGCA